rnacentral:rRNA from 1 species
GUAGUCUCGCACAGAUGCAUAUCAAUAAGCGGAGGAAAAGAAACUAACAAGGAUUCCCUCAGUAACGGCGAGUGAAGCGGGAAGAGCUCAAAUUUGAAAUCUUGAAAGGUCACCUUUCACGAAUUGUAGUUUAAAGAAGUGUUUUCUGUUACGAUCGUAAUAUAAGUUCUUUGGAAUAGGACAUCACAGAGGGUGAGAAUCCCGUCUAUGAUUGCGAUUUGUAGCUUUGUGAUACACUUUCAAAGAGUCGGGUUGUUUGGGAAUGCAGCCCAAAACGGGAGGUAAAUCUCUUCUAAGGCUAAAUAUUGGCGAGAGACCGAUAGCGAACAAGUACCGUGAGGGAAAGAUGAAAAGAACUUUGAAAAGAGAGUUAAAUAGUACGUGAAAUUGUCAAAAGGGGAGCGUUUAACACCAGUGUUGUUUUCUGAAAAUCAACCUCUGUUAGCUUUAUGCAUGUUUGUUUAGACCUAAUCAGCUAUCUUGCAUGUUCUAUUGUUUGCAGUGGUGCACUUUUCAGUUUACAGGUCAACAUCAGUUUUUUUUACCGUAAAAAAGUUAAAGAAAGGUAGCUCAUGGCUCCGGUCGUGAGUGUUAUAGUCUUUUUCCUAUGCGGUAGGAGAGACUGAGGUCUGCAGUGUAGGCUAUUUGGCUAGAUACUCAGGUGCUAUGUGAUACCAUUUCAUAAACAACUUGUUGAUUAUGUUUUGUCUAUUGCAUACUCGCUUGUACUAUCAUACCUACGCUUAGGAUGUUGAGUCGUAGAGCACGCAG